rnacentral:rRNA from 1 species
GAUGAACGCUAGCUACAGGCCUAACACAUGCAAGUCGAGGGGCAUCGGGAGGGAAGCUUGCUUCCCUUGCCGGCGACCGGCGCACGGGUGAGUAACGCGUAUCGAACCUGCCCCAUACCCGGGGAUAGCCUUGCGAAAGUAAGAUUAAUACCCGAUGGCUUCCUUUUAUCUCCUGAUAGAGGGAAUAAAGAAUUUCGGUAUGGGAUGGCGAUGCGUCCGAUUAGCUGGUUGGCGGGGUAACGGCCCACCAAGGCGACGAUCGGUAGGGGUUCUGAGAGGAAGGUCCCCCACAUUGGAACUGAGACACGGUCCAAACUCCUACGGGAGGCAGCAGUGAGGAAUAUUGGUCAAUGGGCGAAAGCCUGAACCAGCCAAGUAGCGUGCAGGAUGACGGCCCUAUGGGUUGUAAACUGCUUUUAUAAGGGAAUAAAGUGAGCCUCGUGAGGCUUUUUGCAUGUACCUUAUGAAUAAGGACCGGCUAAUUCCGUG